rnacentral:rRNA from 1 species
UACGAAGGGUGCAAUCGUUGCUCGGAAUCAUUGGGCGUAAAGCGCGUGUAGGCGGCUCGGUAAGUCCGCUCUGAAAGUCCAGGGCUCAACACUGGGAUGCGGGUGGAUACUGCCGGGCUCGAGUCCGGAAGAGGCGAGUGGAAUUCCCGGUGUAGCGGUGAAAUGCGCAGAUAUCGGGAGGAACACCAAUGGCGAAGGCAGCUCGCUGGGACGUGACUGACGCUGAGACGCGAAAGCGUGGGGAGCAAACAGG